rnacentral:rRNA from 1 species
UACGUAGGGGGCAAGCGUUGUCCGGAUUUAUUGGGCGUAAAGAGCGUGUAGGCGGCUUGGUAGGUCCGCUGUGAAAACUCGAGGCUCAACCUCGAGAUGUCGGUGGAAACCACUUGGCUAGAGUCCGGAAGAGGAGAGUGGAAUUCCCGGUGUAGCGGUGAAAUGCGCAGAUAUCGGGAAGAACACCUAUGGCGAAGGCAGCUCUCUGGGACGGUACUGACGCUGAGACGCGAAAGCGUGGGGAGCGAACAGG